rnacentral:pre_miRNA from 1 species
UAGGGUCGCUUUGUAACUGUAUGGCCAUUUUAGAGCAUCACAUAUGGGUUCUUAAUCCUUGAUAGAGCAGAAUCGCGGACCAGGAUUUAUGUAUCCAACUCCAAAUAGUUGGGAAAAGGCUUUG